UGAUGCAUGAUUCAGUUAUCAUGCAACUGAGACUCGUCAGUCUACGAGUGCAUGCAGUCGGCAUGUGACCAUCGGCGCAGCUGCAUCCAGGCAUCACCGAGUUGGGGGAUGUAGGCGAUCGGGUGUAGACGUCCUUAUUGUCUGGUAAUGAGAAGCAAUUCAGGUCAUACUCGAUUGCUAUGACUGUACCCCAGAUGAAUAUAGCACCGAGCUAACCUCGUAGGCAGCAGCCCGCGGUAAUACGAAGGGUGCAAGCGGUAAUCAGUAAUUACGUGGGUCGUAAAGCGUGCGUAGGUGGUGGUUUAAGUCUGUCGUGAAGCCCUGAGAUCAGCGUGGGAAAUUGCGAUGGAUACUGGUCGACUAGAGUGUGGCAGAGGGUAGUGGAAUUCUUGGUGUAGCAGUGAAAUGCGUAGAGAUCAGGAGGAACAUCCGUGGCGAAUGUGACUGCCUGGGCCAACGCUGACAGUGAGGCACGAAAGCGUGGGGAGCAAACAGGAUUAGAUACCCUGGUAGUCCACGCCCUAUACGAUGCGAAUUGGAUGUUGGGUGCAAUUUGGCACGCAGUAUCGAAGCUAACGCGUUAAGUUCGCCGCCUGGGGAGUACGGUCGCAAGACUGAAACUCAAAGGAAUUGACGGGGGCCCGCACAAGCGGUGGAGUAUGUGGUUUAAUUGGAUGCAACGCGAAGAACCUUACCUGGCCUUGACAUGCACGGAACUUUCCAGAGAUGGAUUGGUGCCUUCGGGAACCGUGACACAGGUGCUGCAUGGCUGUCGUCACCUCGUGUCCUGAGAUGUUGGGAUAAGUCCCGCAACGAGCGCAACCCUUGUCCUUAGUUGCCAGCACGUAAUGGUGGGAACUCUAAGGAGACCGCCGGUGACAAACCGGAGGAAGGUGGGGAUGACGUCAAGUCAUCAUGGGCCUUACGCCCAGGGCUACACACGUACUACAAUGGUAGGGACAGAGGGUUCCAAGCCGGUGACGGUGAGCCAAUCCCCGAAACCAUAUCUCAGUCCGGAUUGGAGUCUGCAACUCGACUCCAUGAAGUCGGAAUCGCUAGUAAUCGCAGAUCAGCAUUGCUGCGAUGAAUACGUUCCCGGUCCUUCUCCACACCCCCCGCCACACCAUGGGAGUUUGUUGCACCAGAAGCAGGUAGCUAACCUAGGAGA
rnacentral:rRNA from 1 species